rnacentral:rRNA from 1 species
UACGUAGGGACCAAGCGUUGUUCGGAUUUACUGGGCGUAAAGGGCGCGUAGGCGGCGUGGUAAGUCACUUGUGAAAUCUCUGAGCUUAACUCAGAGCGGCCAAGUGAUACUGCUGUGCUAGAGUGCAGAAGGGGCAAUCGGAAUUCUUGGUGUAGCGGUGAAAUGCGUAGAUAUCAAGAGGAACACCUGAGGUGAAGACGGGUUGCUGGGCUGUUGCUGACGCUGAGGCGCGACAGCGUGGGGAGCAAACAGG